ACAGGGUUUCACCAUGUUGGCCACGAUGGUCCCCAACUCCUGUCCUUUUGUGAUUCGCCCGCCUCAGCCUCCCAAACUGCUGGGAUUACCGGAGUUUAUAUUAAUUCUAUCUCUCUUAAUUUUUACUCCCAUAGUACACAAGUUUCCCAUGACAAUACUUUUGAAAACCCUAUUAACAAUAAAGUUGGACGUAAAAUUAGGUCUAUAUGCAACUCUACUGUCUAAUCUUGAAACACGUCCUAAGAGACUUAAGGUACCAAAAUACUAACAAUGAUUACAAGUAGACUUGUAGAUUUUCCACAGCAUUAUUUUCUGAAAAAAGAAAUUUUAGGCCUUAUAUUAAGAGAUUCAAGAAAUUUGUUUCCAUUUUAAAAUUUUUUGGAUGGGUUAAUUGAUCAUGUGGCCACGUUAUCUCUAUAAAUGUUUAAAAUCAGUGUACUGUAUUUCCACAUUUAGUAACACUUUUCUUGAAAACCUUGCUUUGAGAUCAGCCCUAAAACUUGUUUUGCAAGUAUUCACUUCUGUGAUGCUCCUGCAAUAAUCCUUAUGUGCUCGCAGUCAAUGAGUUUUUACUCUCAUUAACUUGAUGAAUAAACGCAUAGACCCUCACGGAAACUGUUAACAGUUCUUAAACACAGUGCAGAGUUUCUUCUUUCUGGUAGCUUCCUGAUCUCGCCGGCUCAGAAAUCAACUGGCAGACCUUCCCGGAGACCGUUAGAGGUCUUAGGUCAGCAUCUCUUAAGUUAGCCGUUCCUGCCAGUGGGUUCAGUGGGUUUGUGGUCUGACUGCCUUCAGAAAUAAAGCUACAAGUCUCCACAGUGAGUAUUACCACUCAUUAAGACAAUUCAGACCCAAACACCAGCUAAUGCAAAAAAUAAAAGAACAAAACACCCACACAAGCAAAAGAAAGCCAAGCGGGUCUCCAUCGCCAGCUCUAGCAGCCUGCUUUUAUUCUCUCAUCUGGCCCCACCCACAACCUGCUGAUUGGUCCAUUUUACAGAGAGCCCAUUGGUCUGUUUUACGGAGAGCUGAUUGGUCUGAUUUGACAGGGUGCUGAUUGGUGUGUUUACAAACCUUGAGCUAGAUACAGAGUGCCGAUUGGUGUAUUUACAAUCCCUUAGCUAGACAUAAAGGUUCUCCAAGUCCCCACCAGACUCAGAAACCCAGUUGGCUUCUCCCAUUAAUUUCUGAACUGGGGCUGCAGUAUAGAGUUGCUUGCUAG
rnacentral:lncRNA from 1 species